rnacentral:misc_RNA from 1 species
UGUUCGAGCGUCAGUACAACACUCAAGCUCUGCUUGGUAUUGGGUCCUGCCGGUAGCGGCAGGCCUUAAAAUCAGUGGCGGCGCAUCUGGCUCUAAGCGUAGUAAUACUCCUCGCUACAGAGUCCUGGUGGAUGCUUGCCAGCAACCCCCAACUUUCUAAGUUUGACCUCGGAUCAGGUAGGGAUACCCGCUGAACUUAA